AUGUCCAUACAUUGCUUCAACGCGUUCGUGCUGGCCAUGCUCUGCAUCGUCAGCAUCUGCGCCAUGGGCGUGAUGGUCAGCACUUCCAUCGACCAGUCGGCGGUGGGUCGCCGCCACCCGGGCUCUCCGUGGCGCGGGCCGGCUUCUCGGCGCGGAAGCGGCGGCGACGGCAGCGGCAGCGCUCUGCCUCAGUUUCUGGACCAGACACCGAGUCACAUACCCGUGCUGGCCCGGGAGCCACCGGUGCAUGGCGGCACGCGGGUGGCGACGGCCUAUGACAUCCCGACGUACGAGCAGCCAGAGGGCGGCGGCGGGUCGGAGUGCCCAGUCUGCCUCAGGGAGGUGGAGAAGGAAGACGCGGUGAAGCGGCUGCCGGUGUGUCUGCACUUGUUUCACCAGCAAUGCAUCGACCUGUGGUUGCAUGAGCACUCGACGUGCCCGGUGUGCCGCCCGGAUCCGGUCGUGACGGUGGCAACGAUAAUGGCUGGCCCGGAUCCGGACAUGGUGGUGGCGGUAUCCCCUCCGCCGGGGAUGACGGGCCAGGUGGUGAAGAAAUACGACAGAUUUUCAGAUAUUGACAUGACUGAUAUGGAUUUCAUCGAUGUCCAUCUAAUGAUGAUUGAUCCAAAAUCAAGGAAGGGCUCAGCGCCGGGGGAUUCUGGGAAGAGUGAGAUCCCUUGUACACAACUAUACCUCUGGAAGCUAGUCUGCAAUAGUGGACAACUUGGAAAAUCAAAUCAAAAUGACACUACCAUCGCAUCGCCUUUGAAUGUCCACGAGAAGAAAAGGCCACAAGAGAAUGUCAUGGAUUGGUUCACCACCGCGUGCUUCAUCGGCAGCACGGCCACAGUCGUCUACGCGUUCGUCAACCUGGCGCGGAAUCCCCACAACAAAGCCUCCAUGGUCGCGGCCUCCAUCGUCGUCCUCUGGUGGGUCAGCACCGCCGCCUACACGGCCUUCUGCGGCGACCUCUUCCAGCUAUUGGCGCUGCGUCGGUGCCUGGCCUCCGCCCACGGGGCACUCCGUGGCGCGGGCCGACUUCUCUGUCCGCCGUGCCUAUGUGCGCGCGCCCAUCGAAGCGGCGGCGGUGGCAGCGCUCUGCCACAUGUUGGGGCUGAAUCUCUCAACCCCUCUUCUUCUUCCUCUAGCUGCUGUCCCUCACAACUCACGGAAGAAACCCAGGAACACAAGAAGUUUGGUGAGCUGCUGUUUCACAGAGCCGAAGCUCUUUUUGUUCUCUCUAUUCACUUGUACUAA
rnacentral:rRNA from 1 species